rnacentral:rRNA from 1 species
GACAGAGGGUGCAAACGUUGUUCGGAAUUACUGGGCGUAAAGCGCGUGUAGGCUGCUUGGUAAGUCGGAUGUGAAAGCCCUGGGCUCAACCUAGGAAGUGCAUUCGAAACUUCCAAGCUCGAGUGCUGGAGAGGAAGGCGGAAUUCUCGGUGUAGAGGUGAAAUUCGUAGAUAUCGAGAGGAACAUCAGUGGCGAAGGCGGCCUUCUGGACAGUUACUGACGCUGAGACGCGAAAGCGUGGGGAGCAAACAGG